CAGAAAGAAGAGAGGAACUCCCUGUCUGCAGUGAAUCCAGGCUCAGCUCUCCUGUUCCAAGCAGCCCCUGAGCUUAUUAUGCAUCCCUGCUGUGAUGGACACAAUUUCUGUCUCCC
rnacentral:lncRNA from 12 species